UACGGAGGGGGCCAGCGUUGUUCGGAAUCAUUGGGCGUAAAGGGCGCGUAGGCGGCUUGGUAAGUCCGUUGUGAAAUCCCUCGGCUCAACCGAGGAACUGCGACGGAUACUGCUUGGCUUGAGUCCCGGAGAGGGUAGCGGAAUUCCCAGUGUAGCGGUGAAAUGCGUAGAUAUUGGGAGGAACAUCGGCGGCGAAGGCGGCUACCUGGACGGGUACUGACGCUGAUGCGCGAAAGCUAGGGGAGCAAACAGG
rnacentral:rRNA from 1 species